UACGGAGGGUGCAAGCGUUAUUCGGAAUUACUGGGCGUAAAGCGCGCGUAGGUGGUUUAGUAAGUCUGAUGUGAAAGCCCACGACUCAAUCGUGGAAGUGCAUUGGAUACUGCUAGACUAGAGUACUGGAGGGGAGGACGGAAUUCCCGGUGUAGAGGUGAAAUUCGUAGAUAUCGGGAGGAACAACGGUGGCGAAGGCGGUCCUCUGGACAGUAACUGACGCUGAUGCGCGAAAGCGUGGGGAGCAAACAGG
rnacentral:misc_RNA from 1 species